rnacentral:lncRNA from 1 species
GAACAGCUUGAUGGUGACGUCAUGCUCCUCGUGAUGUUCUUCUACUUCUCCACUCGUGCUCCAUGUAAUUCUGACGAGUCUCUUUAGGGUGUCUCUGCUGGUCCCAGACGUGUUCGAUGGGGUUCAGGUCCGGGGACCUUCCUGGCCAUACCGUAUAAGGCAGUCCCACUUCCUGUGACAAUUCUGGCUCUUCUGCUGGAUGUCUCUCCGUCUCCGUGUGGCAGAGGCGUGUGCGUGUCUGGUGUCACUGUGGGUGGUAGUUGGGUGAAGGUUGAGGGCUUCCUUUUCCACUGCCACGGUUCCCACCAUCAUUCCAGAGCAGCGCGGCGUGCGUCAGUCCCUCCUGACUCACGCUUUCACAUCGGUUACACGCACCGGAACAGUUUGUUUUUUCGCUCCACGUGGUGCGUUUUUACGCACGAGACGAGAACACCGGACAGUUUUCCAACGUGUGUGGGGAUGCUCUGAUGAGUGCAACUGUCCCAACAGGUAAGACAAAUCAUUAUAAAAAACACUUUUAAAUAAAGUUUAAACGCAAAAAAUAAAAGGAUUCUGUAAAGGUGAAGAUUGGAAAAAAUGUUUUU